rnacentral:rRNA from 1 species
AGUGAACGCUGGCGGUAGGCCUAACACAUGCAAGUCGAACGGCAGCACAGUAAGAGCUUGCUCUUACGGGUGGCGAGUGGCGGACGGGUGAGGAAUACAUCGGAAUCUACUUUUUCGUGGGGGAUAACGUAGGGAAACUUACGCUAAUACCGCAUACGACCUACGGGUGAAAGCAGGGGAUCUUCGGACCUUGCGCGAUUGAAUGAGCCGAUGUCGGAUUAGCUAGUUGGCGGGGUAAAGGCCCACCAAGGCGACGAUCCGUAGCUGGUCUGAGAGGAUGAUCAGCCCAACUGGAACUGAGACACGGCCCAGACUCCUAGGGGAGGCAGCAGGGGGGAAUAUUGGACAAUGGGCGCAAGCCUGAUCCAGCCAUACCGCGUGGGUGAAGAAGGCCUUCGGGUUGUAAAGCCCUUUUGUUGGGAAAGAAAAGAAGCAGGUUAAUACCCCGCUGUUCUGACGGUACCCAAAGAAUAAGCACCGGCUAAUUUCGU